CCGGGGCCAGGCCCACACCUAUGGCAGGCAUCCUCAGAGGUUGUGAGGUCUGUUGGAAGCCAGGCAAAACCAGACUGAGUAGUACCUUGAGCAGAAUGAAGUUUCUUUAUAUUUUCCUAUUUGUCAUGUUAUUGUUCCACCAGGUCUACCUGGACAAAUCAGGCACGGGGCGAUGUAGGAGAUUAAAGGGAGUUUGCCGACAUACACUUUGUCAUCCUGUGGAAGUCUAUGUUGGCCGAUGCAACAACGGAAUGGGAAAUUGCUGUGUUGAUGAUGCUGAAGACAUUAGGAAGUACAGACAGUAGAAUCCCAAUUGGCAAUGCCAGUGAAGAAGCAGGGAUAAACAGUCCAAAACAAUGGUUGUGAACUCCAUUGAUCAAGAGAGAAAGCAAAUAUUGGAUUCUAUGUUAUCAAAAUAAAUAUGAUUAAUCGUUCUGAACUUA